AAUAUUGCACAAUGCGGGAAACCCUCAUGCAGCGACGGCGGCUGAGUGAAGACGUAAUUCGGUAUGUAAAGAUCCAUCAGCAGGAAAGAAAAUGACGGUACCUGACUAAGAAGCCGCGGCUAACUACGUGCCAGCAGCCGCGGUAAUACGUAGGGGGCAAGCGUUAUCCGGAUUUACUGGGUGUAAAGGGAGCGUAGGUGGUUUGGUAAGUCAGAUGUGAAAGCCCGGGGCUCAACCCCGGGACUGCAUUUGGAACUAUCAAACUAGAGUGCAGGAGAGGUAAGUGGAAUUCCUAGUGUAGCGGUGAAAUGCGUAGAUAUUAGGAGGAACACCAGUGGCGAAGGCGGCUUACUGGACUGUAACUGACACUGAGGCUCGAAAGCGUGGGGAGCAAAC
rnacentral:rRNA from 1 species